GUGCCCUGGCCAUUCAUGCAAGUUUCAAGGACUCUGAAUCUGUUGAGAAUAGGACAUAACUAAUCGUAUCAUUAGCAAACAUGUCUAUAUUACUGUCAACUGGGUGCUGUUCUAAAGUAUCAACUCCAUUUAGUCCUCCCAAAAGCACAUGAGGGAUUCACAAUGCAUACUGGCAAUGAGAGACUCUGAGAAUACCGGCAACAAAGAAAACUAUUUAACUUCAUUUAACCCAAUGUGGAUCAAACUAAUUUGACCUUGGAAUCAUAAAGAAGUGUGCAACCUGGAACCUGUGCA
rnacentral:lncRNA from 10 species